rnacentral:rRNA from 1 species
CGGACGGGUGGAGUAACGACGUGAGUAACCUAGCCUUACACAAGGGAGUAGCCGUUGGAAACGAACGAAUAAUACCCUACUGACAUAAACUACCUCGCAUGAGGAGCUUAUCAAAGAUUUAUCGGUGUAAGAUGGACUCGCGUCUGAUUAGCUAGUUGGUGAGGUAACGGCCCACCAAGGCGACGAUCAGUAGCCGGCUUGAGAGAGUGUACGGCCACAUUGGGACUGAGACACGGCCCAGACUCCUACGGGAGGCAGCAGUU